AGUGAACGCUGGCGGCAGGCCUAACACAUGCAAGUCGAGCGGCAGCGCGGGGGCAACCCUGGCGGCGAGCGGCGGACGGGUGAGGAAUUCGUCGGAAUCUGCCUUUUUGUGGGGGAUAACGUAGGGAAACUUACGCUAAUACCGCAUACGUCCUACGGGAGAAAGUGGGGGACCGCAAGGCCUCACGCAGAAAGAUGAGCCGACGACCGAUUAGCUAGUUGGUGGGGUAAAGGCCCACCAAGGCGACGAUCGGUAGCUGGUCUGAGAGGAUGAUCAGCCACACCGGGACUGAGACACGGCCCAGACUCCUACGGGAGGCAGCAGUGGGGAAUAUUGGACAAUGGGCGCAAGCCUGAUCCAGCCAUGCCGCGUGUGUGAAGAAGGCCUUCGGGUUGUAAAGCACUUUUGUCCGGAAAGAAAUCCCUGGAGCUAAUACCUUCGGGGGAUGAUGGUACCGGAAGAAUAAGCACCGGCUAACUUCGUG
rnacentral:rRNA from 1 species